UACAGAGACUGCAAGCGUUAUUCGGAUUCACUGGGCGUAAAGGGUGCGCAGGCGGCCGUGUGUGUGAGGCGUGAAAGCCCGGGGCUUAACCCCGGAAUUGCACCUCAAACUACAUGGCUAGAGCAUUGGAGAGGGUAGCAGAAUUCAUGGUGUAGCAGUGAAAUGCGUAGAUAUCAUGAGGAAUACCAGAGGCGAAGGCGGCUACCUGGACAAUUGCUGACGCUCAGGCACGAAAGCGUGGGGGGCAAACAGG
rnacentral:rRNA from 1 species